GACGAACGCUGGCGGCAUGCCUAAUACAUGCAAGUCGAGCGAACAGUUAUAGAAGCUUGCUUCUAUAAAUGUUAGCGGCGGAUGGGUGAGUAACACGUGGGCAACCUGCCCUGCAGAUGGGGAUAACUCCGGGAAACCGGGGCUAAUACCGGAUAAUCAGGUUGCCCGCAUGGACAAACUCUAAAAGACGGCUUCGGCUGGCACUGCAGGAUGGGCCCGCGGCGCAUUAGCUAGUUGGUGGGAUAACGGCCUACCAAGGCAACGAUGCGUAGCCGACCUGGGAGGGUGAUCGCCCACACUGGAACUGAGACACGGCCCAGACUCCUACGGGAGGCAGCAGUAGGGAAUCUUCCGCAAUGGUCGGAAGUCUGAUGGAGCAAUGCCGCGUGAGCGACGACGGUUUUCGGAUCGUAAAGCUCUGUUGUGAGGGAAGAACAAGUACGGGAGUAACUGCCCGUACCUUGACGGUACCUCAUUAGAAAGCCACGGCUAACUACGUG
rnacentral:rRNA from 1 species